rnacentral:rRNA from 1 species
UACGUAGGGACCGAGCGUUGUCCGGAUUCAUUGGGCGUAAAGAGCUCGUAGGCGGCUGUUCAAGUCGAACGUGAAAACUCGGAGCUCAACUCCGAGCCUGCGUUCGAUACUGGACGGCUAGAGUCUGGUAGGGGGAUCUGGAAUUCCUGGUGUAGCGGUGGAAUGCGCAGAUAUCAGGAGGAACACCAGUGGCGAAGGCGGGUCUCUGGACAGUUCCUGACGCUGAGGCACGAAGGUCAGGGGAGCAAACGGG